UCUCAUGCAGUCAUUCUCCAAAAGGAAGCACUUUCUGUUGUCUAAAGCAAGCAGAGUGCCUUCUUUUGGAGCGUUACUGUUUGAGA
ensembl:miRNA MIR515-1 microRNA 515-1